rnacentral:rRNA from 1 species
GGCUUAGAGUUUGAUCAUGGCUCAGGAUAAACGCUGGCGGCGCACAUAAGACAUGCAAGUCGAACGGAAGUCGUUAUAAGUGAAUUGAAGAUUUAUCUGAUUGAAGUUUAUAACAAUGGCUUUAGUGGCGGACUGGUGAGUAACGCGUAAGGAAUCUACCUAUUAGAGGGGAAUAACAAUGAGAAAUCAUUGCUAAUACCGCAUAUGCCAUAGUGAAGGCAUCUUCAUAGUGGGAAAGGAGCAAUUCGCUAAUAGAUGAUCUUGCGUCUGAUUAGUUAGUUGGUGGGGUAACGGCCUACCAAGACGACGAUCAGUAGCCGGACUGAGAGGUUGAACGGCCACAUUGGGACUGAGAUACGGCCCAGACUCCUACGGGAGGCAGCAGUCGGGAAUAUUGCGCAAUGGAGGAAACUUUGACGCAGUGACGCCGCGUAUAGGAAGAAGGUUUUCGGAUUGUAAACUAUUGUCGUUAGGGAAGAAAAAAGACAGUACCUAAGGAGGAAGCUCCGGCUAACUACGUGCCAGCAGCCGCGGUAAUACGUAGGGAGCAAGCGUUAUCCGGAUUUAUUGGGUGUAAAGGGUGCGUAGACGGGUAAUCAAGUUAGUUGUGAAAUCCCUUGGCUUAACUGAGGAACUGCAACUAAAACUGGUUAUCUUGAGUACAGGAGAGGUAAGUG